rnacentral:rRNA from 1 species
CAUGGCCUCUUGCAACCCGCAAAUAAGAGGUCUAACCUGCCCAGUGACAAUAAGUUUAACGGCCGCGGUAUUUUAACCGUGCUAAGGUAGCGUAAUCACUUGUCUUUUAAAUGAAGACCCGUAUGAAAGGUGUCACGAGGGCCCUCCUGUCUCCUACUUCAAGUCUAUGAAAUUGAUCUGCCCGUGCAGAAGCGGGCAUACCCACAUAAGACGAGAAGACCCUGUGGAGCUUAAGACUACAACCAAUCAUGCCUAGUAACCUACCCUCCAAACGGCACAAAAGGUCCAAUAAGCUUAAUGACAAUGGUUUACCGUCUUCGGUUGGGGCGACCAUGGGGGACAGAAAAGCCCCCAAGAAGAAGCAGGGGACCAAUUACACCGAUCCCUAAGAGUUAAGAGCUACAACUCUAAACAACAGAAAUAUCUGACUAAUAAUGAUCCAGGUAACAAACCUGAUCAACGGACCAAGUUACCCCAGGGAUAACAGCGCAAUCCUUUCCCAGAGCCCAUAUCGCCGAAAGGGUUUACGACCUCGAUGUUGGAUCAGGACAUCCUGGUGGCGAAAAUUCUACCAAGGGUUCGUUUGUUCAACGAUUAAAGUCCUACGUGAU